rnacentral:tRNA from 1 species
GGGCGCAUAGCGCAGUGGUAGCGCGUCCGCUUUGCAAGCGGAAGGCCCCGGGUUCAAUCCCCCGGUGUGUCCA